rnacentral:rRNA from 1 species
AAUGAACGCUGGCGGCAGGCUUAACACAUGCAAGUCGAACGCACCGCAAGGUGAGUGGCAGACGGGUGAGUAACGCGUGGGAACCUUCCCUUUGGUUCAGGAUAGCCCCGGGAAACUGGGAUUAAUACUGGAUAAGAUCUACGGAUGAAAGAUUUAUCGCCGAAGGAUGGGCCCGCGUAAGAUUAGCUAGUUGGUGAGGUAACGGCUCACCAAGGCUUUGAUCUUUAGCUGGUCUGAGAGGAUGAUCAGCCACACUGGAACUGAGACACGGUCCAGACUCCUACGGGAGGCAGCAGUGAGGAAUAUUGGACAAUGGGUGAGAGCCUGAUCCAGCCAUGCCGCGUGAGUGAUGAAGGCCUUAGGGUUGUAAAGCUCUUUUACCCGGGAUGAUAAUGACAGUACCGGGAGAAUAAGCCCGGCUAACUCCGUGCCAGCAGCCGCGGUAAU